CGGGCGUCGCGGCCGCCUGCGGCAUCAGCAUUCCGGCGGCGCGGGCGGGCCCAGCCGGGUGUCUGCGCCUCUGAGGUUGCAAAUCUGGAACCAGUUAGGAUGCGGGAGGCAGAUAAUAAAUUAGAUUCAAGAAUACUAGUGAGUUUAUAGCAGGAUAAAUAAAAAUAUGCCUUGAGAUAUCAUAGUAGAACUGCAGGAUACCAAAGACAAAAGGAAAGCAUAUGCUUAUUAUAAAUUCAUCAGAUUUAUUAAUUUGUAAGAGAAAAAUGUAUCAAGCACCAUUGUAUACAGAUAUCCAAAUAUCACAGGUACUCCCAAAGUACACACAGCUACUACAUAUCAAUUUUUAAUAUUACACCUGAAAACAAUUUCAAGAGAGGCUUCAUUGAGAAGGUAAAAUUUGGGAGGGGAAUUGAAGGAGAGGAAGGAGUUGGUGAGACCGAGAUAUGGAAGAGUGUCUCUCAGGAAGAGAAGCAGCUAGGGCAUCCUGGCAAUUUGUGUAUCUUCAUUUACAAAGUGUCUGUCCAAACCUUUUGUCCAACUCUUUAAUUGUUGCAUAUAUUAUAUUAUUGAGUUGUAAGAAUUUCAAAUAUAUUCUGGAUAUAACUCUGUAUCAGAUAUAUGUAUUGCAAAUAUUUUCUCCCUGUCUGUAACUUGUCUUUUCGUUUUCUUAAC
rnacentral:lncRNA from 1 species